rnacentral:rRNA from 1 species
UACGUAGGGCGCAAGCGUUGUCCGGAAUUAUUGGGCGUAAAGAGCUCGUAGGCGGCUCAGUUAGUCGGGUGUGAAACCCCCGGGCUCAACCCGGGGACGCCACCCGAUACUGCUGUGGCUAGAGUCCGGUAGGGGAGCAUGGAAUUCCUGGUGUAGCGGUGAAAUGCGUAGAUAUUGGGAGGAACACCAGUGGCGAAGGCGGCUCACUGGACCGGUUCUGACGCUGAGGCGCGAAAGCGUGGGGAGCAAACGGG